rnacentral:rRNA from 1 species
AUUGAACGCUGGCGGCAUGCUUUACACAUGCAAGUCGGACGGCAGCACAGAGAAGCUUGCUUCUUGGGUGGCGAGUGGCGAACGGGUGAGUAAUAUAUCGGAACGUACCGAGUAAUGGGGGAUAACUAAUCGAAAGAUUAGCUAAUACCGCAUAUUCUCUGAGGAGGAAAGCAGGGGACCUUCGGGCCUUGCGUUAUUCGAGCGGCCGAUAUCUGAUUAGCUAGUUGGUGGGGUAAAGGCCUACCAAGGCGACGAUCAGUAGCGGGUCUGAGAGGAUGAUCCGCCACACUGGGACUGAGACACGGCCCAGACUCCUACGGGAGGCAGCAGUGGGGAAUUUUGGACAAUGGGCGCAAGCCUGAUCCAGCCAUGCCGCGUGUCUGAAGAAGGCCUUCGGGUUGUAAAGGACUUUUGUCAGGGAAGAAAAGGCUGUUGCUAAUAUCGACAGCUGAUGACGGUACCUGAAGAAUAAGCACCGGCUAACUACGU